rnacentral:rRNA from 1 species
GUGCAGGUAGCACAAUCCUUGUCCCCUAAAUGAGGACCCGUAUGAAAGGCAACAUGAGAGAAAACCUGUCUCCUAAGGUCCGCCAAUGAAAUUGAUUUAUCAGUACAAAAGCUGAUAUAACAAAGCAAGACAAAAAGACCCUAUGGAACUUUAACAAAUUGAUUAUAGACAAUAAACAAUAGUUUCAGUUGGGAUAACUUUAGAAAAAAUAAACCUCUAACACCAUCUAGACCAACUAGUCUUGACGCACUAACGCACGACCCAGUAAUACUGAUUAACGAAACAAGCUACCCUAGGGAUAACAGCGCUACCUUCUCAAAGAGUCCAUAUCAACAAGAAGAUCUACGACCUCGAUGUUGGAUCAGGGUACCCAGACGGUGUAGCAGCUGUCAACGGUUCGUUUGUUCAACAACUAAC